ACAGGGAUUGCCCUAGUAACGGCGAGUGAAGCGGCAACAGCUCAAAUUUGAAAUCUGGCGUCUUUGGCGUCCGAGUUGUAAUUUGCAGAGGGCGCUUUGGCAUUGGCAGCGGUCCAAGUUCCUUGGAACAGGACGUCACAGAGGGUGAGAAUCCCGUACGUGGUCGCUAGCCUUUACCGUGUAAAGCCCCUUCGACGAGUCGAGUUGUUUGGGAAUGCAGCUCUAAAUGGGAGGUAAAUUUCUUCUAAAGCUAAAUACUGGCCAGAGACCGAUAGCGCACAAGUAGAGUGAUCGAAAGAUGAAAAGCACUUUGGAAAGAGAGUUAAAAAGCACGUGAAAUUGUUGAAAGGGAAGCGCUUGCAGCCAGACUUGCCUGUAGUUGCUCAUCCGGGUUUCUACCCGGUGCACUCUUCUAUAGGCAGGCCAGCAUCAGUUUGGGCGGUUAGAUAAAGGUCUCUGUCAUGUACCUCCUCUCGGGGAGAACUUAUAGGGGAGACGACAUGUAACCAGCCCGGACUGAGGUCCGCGCAUCUGCUAGGAUGCUGGCGUAAUGGCUGUAAGCGGCCCGUCUUGAAACACGGACCAAGGAGUCUAACAUCUAUGCGAGUGUUUGGGUGUCAAGCCCGAGCGCGUAAUGAAAGUGAACGGAGGUGGGAACCUUUCGGGGUGCACCAUCGACCGAUCCUGAUGUCUUCGGAUGGAUUUGAGUAAGAGCAUAGCUGUUGGGACCCGAAAGAUGGUGAACUAUGCUUGAAUAGGGUGAAGCCAGAGGAAACUCUGGUGGAGGCUCGCAGCGGUUCUGACGUGCAAAUCGAUCGUCAAAUUUGGGCAUAGGGGCGAAAGACUAAUCGAACUAUCUAGUAGCUGGUUCCUGCCGAAGUUUCCCUCAGGAUAGCAGUAACGUUUUCAGUUUUAUGAGGUAAAGCGAAUGAUUAGAGGCCUGGGGGUUGAAACAACCUU
rnacentral:rRNA from 1 species